rnacentral:rRNA from 1 species
AUAAAGUUAGGGACGUGUCCCUAUUUGUAUGUACUGAUGAAUAAGCAUCGGCUAACUCCGUGCCAGCAGCCGCGGUAAUACGGAGGAUGCAAGCGUUAUUCGGAUUUAUUGGGUUUAAAGGGUGCGUAGGCGGGUUAAUAAGUCAGCGGUGAAAUCUUGGAGCUUAACUCCGAAACUGCCGUUGAAACUGUUAGUCUUGAGUGUGAACGAGGUAGGCGGAAUUCGUGGUGUAGCGGUGAAAUGCUUAGAUAUCACGAAGAACUCCAAUAGCGCAGGCAGCUUACCAGGCCACCACUGACGCUGAUGCACGAAAGUGUGGGUAUCAAACAGGAUUAGAUACCCUGGUAGUCCACACAGUAAACGAUGAAUACUAACUGUUUGCGAUAUACAGUAAGCGGUACAGCGAAAGCGUUAAGUAUUCCACCUGGGGAGUACGCCGGCAACGGUGAAACUCAAAGGAAUUGACGGGGGCCCGCACAAGCGGAGGAACAUGUGGUUUAAUUCGAUGAUACGCGAGGAACCUUACCCGGGCUCGAACGGCUAAUGAAUACAGAUGAAAGUUUGUAGCUAGCAAUAGCAUUAGUCGAGGUGCUGCAUGGUUGUCGUCAGCUCGUGCCGUGAGGUGUCGGCUUAAGUGCCAUAACGAGCGCAACCCUUAUCUUUAGUUACUAACAGGUAAUGCUGAGGACUCUAGAGAGACUGCCACCGUAAGGUGUGAGGAAGGUGGGGAUGACGUCAAAUCAGCACGGCCCUUACGUCCGGGGCGACACACGUGUUACAAUGGGGGGUACAAAGGGUCGCUACCUGGCAACAGGAUGCUAAUCUUAAAAACCUCUCCCAGUUCGGAUUGGAGUCUGCAACUCGACUCCAUGAAGCUGGAUUCGCUAGUAAUCGCGCAUCAGCCAUGGCGCGGUGAAUACGUUCCCGGGCCUUGUACACACCGCCCGUCAAGCCAUGGAAGCCGGGGGUACCUGAAGUACGUAACCGCAAGGAGCGUCCUAGGGUAAAACUGGUAACUGGGGCUAAGUCGUAACAAGGUA